rnacentral:rRNA from 1 species
GACGAACCGUGCGAACGUUGUUCGGAAUCACUGGGCAUAAAGGGCGCGUAGGCGGCUUUUCAAGUCAGGGGUGAAAUCCGGCAGCUCAACUGUCGAAGUGCCUUUGAUACUGGGAAGCUCGAGGGAGGUAGGGGUCUGUGGAACUUCCGGUGGAGCGGUGAAAUGCGUUGAUAUCGGAAGGAACGCCGGUGGCGAAAGCGACGGACUGGACCUCUUCUGACGCUGAGGCGCGAAAGCCAGGGGAGCAAACGGG